ensembl:snoRNA
GUUGAGGUCUAUCCCUAUGGGGCUUUUCCUGUAGACUCACAUUGUUGGAAAUGCCUCACAGAGUAACUGUGUGGUUUUGCUUCACUCACAGAACUAUUUGUUAGAUCUUUGGAAAGAAUUACAAGAUCUGC